UGGAUCAGUGCUGUACUGGUGGCUUAUGAGUCAUAUACAACGAAUACAUGUCUGGAACUCUGAGGUACAA